GAUGAACGCUGUCGGCGUGCCUAAUUCAUGCAAGUCUAGCGAACAUACUAGCAGAUUGCUCCUCUGUCGCUAGCUGCGGACGGGUCAUUACCACGUCGCUAACCCACCUAUACGACUGGGAUAACUUCGAGCAACCUGAGCUAAUACCUGAUCAUAUAUUCAACCGCAUGGUUCAAUAGUCAUAGACGCUUUUGCUGUCCCUUACACAUGGACCCGCGCCGCUCUGUCUAGUUGGUAAGGUAACGGCUUACCAAGGCGAAGAUGCGUAGCCGACGUGAGAGGGUGAUCGGCCCCACGGGAACGGAGACAAGGUCCAGACUCCUACGGGACGCAGCAGUAGGGAAUCGUGAGCAAUGGGCGAAAGCCUGAAGGAGCAACGCCGCGUGAGUGAUGAAGGUCUCCGGAUCGUAAAACUCUGUUAUUAGGGAAGAACAAAUGUGUAAGUAAAUAUGCACGUCUUGACGGUACCUAAGCAGAAAGCUACGGCUAACUACGUG
rnacentral:rRNA from 1 species